AGAGUUUGAUCCUGGCUCAGGACGAACGCUGGCGGCGUGCCUAAUACAUGCAAGUAGAACGCUGAAGAGAGGAGCUUGCUCUUCUUGGAUGAGUUGCGAACGGGUGAGUAACGCGUAGGUAACCUGCCUUGUAGCGGGGGAUAACUAUUGGAAACGAUAGCUAAUACCGCAUAACAAUGGAUGACACAUGUCAUUUAUUUGAAAGGGGCAAUUGCUCCACUACAAGAUGGACCUGCGUUGUAUUAGCUAGUAGGUGAGGUAACGGCUCACCUAGGCGACGAUACAUAGCCGACCUGAGAGGGUGAUCGGCCACACUGGGACUGAGACACGGCCCAGACUCCUACGGGAGGCAGCAGUAGGGAAUCUUCGGCAAUGGGGGCAACCCUGACCGAGCAACGCCGCGUGAGUGAAGAAGGUUUUCGGAUCGUAAAGCUCUGUUGUAAGUCAAGAACGAGUGUGAGAGUGGAAAGUUCACACUGUGACGGUAGCUUACCAGAAAGGGACGGCUAACUACGUGCCAGCAGCCGCGGUAAUACGUAGGUCCCGAGCGUUGUCCGGAUUUAUUGGGCGUAAAGCGAGCGCAGGCGGUUUGAUAAGUCUGAAGUUAAAGGCUGUGGCUCAACCAUAGUUCGCUUUGGAAACUGUCAAACUUGAGUGCAGAAGGGGAGAGUGGAAUUCCAUGUGUAGCGGUGAAAUGCGUAGAUAUAUGGAGGAACACCGGUGGCGAAAGCGGCUCUCUGGUCUGUAACUGACGCUGAGGCUCGAAAGCGUGGGGAGCGAACAGGAUUAGAUACCCUGGUAGUCCACGCCGUAAACGAUGAGUGCUAGGUGUUGGAUCCUUUCCGGGAUUCAGUGCCGCAGCUAACGCAUUAAGCACUCCGCCUGGGGAGUACGACCGCAAGGUUGAAACUCAAAGGAAUUGACGGGGGCCCGCACAAGCGGUGGAGCAUGUGGUUUAAUUCGAAGCAACGCGAAGAACCUUACCAGGUCUUGACAUCCCGAUGCUAUUUCUAGAGAUAGAAAGUUACUUCGGUACAUCGGUGACAGGUGGUGCAUGGUUGUCGUCAGCUCGUGUCGUGAGAUGUUGGGUUAAGUCCCGCAACGAGCGCAACCCU
rnacentral:rRNA from 1 species